rnacentral:rRNA from 1 species
AAUCAACGCUGGCGGCGUGCCUAACACAUGCAAGUCGAACGAGAAGGUGACUUCGGUCACUGGAUAGUGGCGUCCGGGUGAGUAACACGUAGGUAAUCUACCUUCGGGUGGGGAAUAACGUCUCGAAAGAGACGCUAAUACCGCAUAAUGCAGCGGCACCUAAUGGUGAUUAGUUGUUAAAGCGGGGGAUCUUCGGACCUCGCGCCUGAAGAGGAGCCUGCGGCAGAUUAGCUAGUUGGUGAGGUAAUGGCUCACCAAGGCUUCGAUCUGUAGCUGGUCUGAGA